rnacentral:rRNA from 1 species
CAGUCGCCACGGUAAUCCGUAGGUGGCAAGCGUUGUCCGGAAUUAUUGGGCGUAAGGCGCGCGCAGGCGGAUCAGUCAGUCUGUCUUAAAAGUUCGGGGCUUAACCCCGUGAUGGGAUGGAAACUGCUGAUCUAGAGUAUCGGAGAGGAAAGUGGAAUUCCUAGUGUAGCGGUGAAAUGCGUAGAUAUUAGGAAGAACACCAGUGGCGAAGGCGACUUUCUGGACGAAAACUGACGCUGAGGCGCGAAAGCCAGGGGAGCGAACGGGAUUAGAUACCCGCGUAGUCCCUGUCUCUUAUACC